ensembl:snoRNA
AGGACUAUACUUUCAGGGAUCAUUUCUAUAGUUUGUUACUAGAGAAGUUUCUCUGAAUGUGUAGAGCACUGGCACCCACGAGGAAGAGACGUAGUGUUCUCUCUUGAGUGUGAAGCUGACUUUUGGUGUUGCUUGGGUGCAAUCGCCAUUUGUCAUUGAUGAUCGUUCUUCUUUCUCCUUUGGAAAGUAAGAGAGAGAGAAUGCUGUCUGAGUGGAA